AGAAAAGAAACCAAACACACAGUCCAAAGGGAGAACUGGACUCAGACUGGACACCAGUGUGACCACUGUCUGAUCCACUGGUCAAACUGGAAACAUGGGCGACAGAAAACCCUGAUCCUGUGUCAGAGACUCAGACGAGGACUCUUGACUGUGAAACUAAAGACAGCUGAAUGAGCUGUGUUCCAGUAAAGCUCCACCUCUUCCUGUAUGCAGAUAUACACUGAGGACAGCACAUGAUGAUCAGAGCAGAGAGCAGGCGGACGGCCAGAGAGACGGUCUACCUGGACAUGGAUCACCUGUUGGUGCUGCUGCUGCUGUGGAGCUCAGGACUCCAGGCUGAAGGAAAUCACACCUCAACAGAGCCUGAUGAUGUCAGGUUGGUGGGAGGAGCCAGUCGCUGUGCAGGAACACUGGAGCUG